ACGACCAACAUGAUGAAAGAUCGAAUUUUAUAUUCAGUUAUCCCUGUCCGAAGUAUUCGUGUGGAUAUUCACUAUUCUGAUUGUCGU
rnacentral:snoRNA from 1 species